rnacentral:rRNA from 1 species
AACGAACGCUAGCGGCAUGCCUAACACAUGCAAGUCGAACGAGACCUUCGGGUCUAGUGGCGCACGGGUGCGUAACGCGUGGGAACCUGCCCUUAGGUUCGGAAUAACUCCCCGAAAGGGGUGCUAAUACCGGAUAAUGUCUUCGGACCAAAGAUUUAUCGCCUUUGGAUGGGCCCGCGUUGGAUUAGCUAGUUGGUAGGGUAAAAGCCUACCAAGGCGACGAUCCAUAGCUGGUCUGAGAGGAUGAUCAGCCACACUGGGACUGAGACACGGCCCAGACUCCUACGGGAGGCAGCAGUGGGGAAUAUUGGACAAUGGGCGAAAGCCUGAUCCAGCAAUGCCGCGUGAGUGAUGAAGGCCUUAGGGUUGUAAAGCUCUUUUACCCGGGAUGAUAAUGACAGUACCGGGAGAAUAAGCUCCGGCUAACUCCGUG